rnacentral:tRNA from 1 species
AGGGUUUUAGUUUAAUUAAAACAUUUGACUUGCAAUCAGAAAACGUGGGGUAAUACCCGCAAAUCCUA